rnacentral:rRNA from 1 species
AUGGACGCAAGUCUGAUGGAGCAACGCCGCGUGAGUGAAGAAGGGUUUCGGCUCGUAAAGCUCUGUUGGUAGUGAAGAAAGAUAGAGGUAGUAACUGGCCUUUAUUUGACGGUAAUUACUUAGAAAGUCACGGCUAACUACGUGCCAGCAGCCGCGGUAAUACGUAGGUGGCAAGCGUUGUCCGGAUUUAUUGGGCGUAAAGCGAGUGCAGGCGGUUCAAUAAGUCUGAUGUGAAAGCCUUCGGCUCAACCGGAGAAUUGCAUCAGAAACUGUUGAACUUGAGUGCAGAAGAGGAGAGUGGAACUCCAUGUGUAGCGGUGGAAUGCGUAGAUAUAUGGAAGAACACCAGUGGCGAAGGCGGCUCUCUGGUCUGCAACUGACGCUGAGGCUCGAAAGCAUGGGUAGCGAACAGGAUUAGAUACCCUGGUAGUCCAUGCCGUAAACGAUGAGUGCUAAGUGUUGGGAAGUUUCCGCCUCUCAGUGCUGCAGCUAACGCAUUAAGCACUCCGCCUGGGGAGUACGACCGCAAGGUUGAAACUCAAAGGAAUUGACGGGGGCCCGCACAAGCGGUGGAGCAUGU